CGGCACAACAUUGUGGGCCGAAGGGCCUGUGAUGUGCUGUAGGUUUCUAUGGUCCAUGUUUAGUGAAACAUUGGAGCAUUCUGCUCCUCUGGCUUGGCUUUGCUUGGGGAACAACUUGAAGUUCAGAGUUAUAGAGCAUUACAGCACAGAAAUAGGCCCUUCAGCCCACCUAGUCCAUGCUGAACUGUUACUCUGUCUGGUUCCAUGCACCACAGCCCUCGACACCCUCCAUACCCCUCCCAUUCAGGUACAAUAGACAAUAGACAAUAGGUGCAGAAGUAGACCAUUUGGCCCUUCGAGCCUGCACCACCAUCUUGAGAUCAUGGCUGAUCAUCUACUAACAAUACCCAGUUCCUGCCUUGUCCCCAUAUCCCUCGAUUCCCCCAUCCAUAAGAUACCUAUCUAGCUCCUUCUUGAAAGCAUCCAGAGAAUUGGCCUCCACUGCAUUCUGAGGCAGUGCAUUCCAGACCCCCAUAACUCUCUGGGAGAAGAAGUUUUUCCUUAACUCUGUCCUAAAUGACCUACCCCUUAUUCUCAAACCAUGCUCUCUGGUACUGGACUCUCCCAGCAUCUGGAACAUAUUACCUGCCUCCAUCUUGUCCAAUCCCUUAAUAAUCUUAUAUGUUUCAAUCAGAUCCCCUCUCAAUCUCCUUAACUCCAGCAUGUACAAGCCCAGUCUCUCUAACCUCUCUGCGUAAGACAGUCCAGACAUCCCAGGAAUUAACCUCUUGAAUUUACGCUACACUUCCUCUACAGCCAGGAUGUCCUUCCUUAACCCUGGAGACCAAAACUGUACACAAUACUCCAGGUGUGGUCUCACCAGGGCUCUGUACAAAUGCAAGAGGAUUUCCUUGCUCUUGUACUCAAUUCCCUUUGUAAAAAAGGCCAACAUUCCAUUAGCCUUCUUCACUGCCUGCUGCACCUGCUCAUUCACCUUCAGUGACUGAUGAACAAGGACUCCUAGAUCUCUUUGUAUUUCUCCCUUACCGUUCAGAUAAUAAUCUGCCUUCCUGUUCUUACACCCAAGGUGGAUAACCUCACACUUACUCACAUUAAACGCCAUCUGCCAAGUAUCUGCCCAUUCACCCAGCCUAUCCAAGUCACCCUGAAUUCUCCUAACAUCCUCAUCACAUGUCACACUGCCACCCAGCUUAGUAUCAUCAGCAAACUUGCUGAUGUUAUUCUCAAUGCCUUCAUCCAAAUCGUUGAUGUGAAUGGGUAGCCUGCCAAACUUCCCCUAAGUAUUACAAUUGAACCCACAUCCAGCACUUGCGCUGGCAGCUGAUUCUGCACUCUGAGUGAACAAACUCCCCCUCUUAAAUAUUUCACUUUUCACCCUUACCCUAUGAUCUCUAGAUCUAUUCUCACCCAACCUCAGCAGAAAAAGCCCGCUUGCAUUUGCCCCAUCUGAGGCCUCCAUCGGUCAGCUGUUGCGUCCCAGCUGUCUGGAUACACAAGCCUGGGCAGAAUACCUGUGUAGCGAGCUCCACCUCUCCACGCAGCUGAAGAACCCAAAGGAACGGCAAAGACCGAUACGGUUUGGUGUCAGCAGUGCUGCUGAGUUGCCAGUCAGUGUUGAACACAAUGUAGGAGCCUCAGGGGCUUCAGCUCCGGAUUUUCCCCUCAGGGUUCACUCCUGAGCCUUCCUCCGUGAGUGGGUGUAGCCGCAAGGCGGCGGGGGUGUGGGAUCAGAGUUUUCCUUCUCCACGGCUGAUCAACCCCAUCUGCCAAAGCCACUGGCUUUGCCUCUUCUCCUGUCAGUAGAGAUGGAUCUGCUGGGCUCAGUAGCUAGGCCACACGUGAAGGCCAGGAGCUGGAGUUGGUUGUCAGAGACUGUUUGACAUUCACACUGUUGGGAGCACGUAAUAGGUAAUGGGGGCAAUCUAUACCCCUCAUAAUAUUGUGUACUAUCAAACCUUUCCUCAUUCUCCUGCGCUCUAGGGAACAGAAUAGUAACCAAUCCAACCUUUCCCUAUAAUUCAACUCCCCAAGAUCCUUGUCAAUUUUCUCUGCACUCUUUCAACUUUAUUCACAUCUUUCCUGCAGGUAGCUGACCAGAAGUUGACACAAUGCUCCAAAUUAGGCCUCACCAAUGUCUUAUAACAUCCCAACUCCUGUACUCAAAACCCUGAUUCAUGAAGGCCAAAAGCUCUCUUUACCGCCCUAUCUACGCGUGACGGCACUUUUAAGGAAUGAUGUACCUGUAUUCCCAGAUCCCUCUGUUCCACCGCAGGCUUCGGAGCCCUGUCAUUUACCGUGUAAGUCCCACCUCACUCUUGCUAAAUUAAAUUCCAUCUGCUACUUGUCUGCAUUAGAUUCUGUUUGCUGUUUUCCAGCUGGUGUACACCAGCUUUGAUAGUCUUCCUCGCAGUGCCUUGCAACCCCGAUCUUGGUGUCGCCUGCAAAUCUGCUGAUCCAGUUUACGGCAUCAUCAUCUGAUCUUGAAGUUUGUGGUCAUCUUCUGCCUCUGAUUCUUGUCAAAGCACACUCCUGCCAGGCAGUGAGAAGACUGCAGCUCGAGAGCUGGAAAGUGCCGGCUAAGAGCAAAGUGCCUCUCCACUUCACCUCUGGCACGGUGGGACGCUUGGCUGCGGAAAUCGUCUCAGUUAGUGGAGGCUGCUGUUCCACUACUUCUCACUGUGACGGAGAACAGGCAGUCAAUACACAUAUAUACAUAUGUAUGUAUACAUAAACACACAUAUAUACGCACACACAUAUAUACACACAGACACACACACACACACAUAUAUACAUACAGACACACACACACAUAUAUACAUACAUACAGGCCUGUGCUAAAGUCUUAGGCACUUACACAUUUAGGUUGCCUAAGACUUUUGCACAGGACUGUAUUUGUCGACGUGGAGCGGAGAGCGAGUUUGUAAACCUGGCGGGAGCAAAGGAUGUCGGGAAUGGCGAGGGGUGAAGCGCCGCGGGAGGGGUGUGGGACAGGUGGCAGAGAAGGAGUGCCGGGGCAGUUGGUGGCAAAGGUGCAGACGCAGCCAACCCUGAGACACCAGGCAAGGUCAUUUGAUUCCAAACAAUUGGUUUAUUGACCAUUACAGACCAUUAUUGACCAUUACCCCCCCUUCCCAACCAUGAUUCCCCUCUCCCUGCCCCCUUCCCACUCUCAGUCCACAAUAGAGACCCAGAUCAGAAUCAGGUUUAUCAUCACUCACACAUGUCAUGAAAUUUGUUUUUUUUUGUGGCAGCAGUACAGUGCAAAACAUAAAAUUACUACAGGACUGUGCAAAAGUCUUAGGCACACUGGCUAUAUAUAUGUGGCUGAGACUGUAACAACUGCUUGUUGUUUUGCAGUAACAGUACAGAGUAACACACAAGAAAUUAUAAAUUGCAAUAAGAAAAGUGCACAUAUGCAAAUAUGCAGCAAACUUCUUGGCAUAUAUCGGUGAUAAUAAACCUGAAUCACAUCAUCAUUCUGAAGAUCACAGCUUCUCUUCUCCCUUCUCAUUCUCGUUGUAUCUCAUACUUCCCCAUCCUCCAUUCAUUGACCAGUCAGCGACAACACCCAGUUUCCUGUUGUGUAAUCUGUCCGCACUGUUCCUGAUAAUCCGCAUGUCAGCAGCCAGCACAGACGUGCGUUGAGAAAUUAUGUUUGGCGGAAAUGUGCGGCAUGGAGAGGCCUCGUGAGUGCUCACAAUGAGUACUGGUUACAAUCAUGAUGAGGGAUCUCGAUCUGCGAUCAUUUUUGCCGUGUAGGUACCCUGUGGCCACUUUAAUAGGUACACCUAACGCAGUGGUCACUGAGUGUAUGCUCCUGGUCUUCUGCUGCUAUAGAUCGUCCGAUUCAAGGGUUGAUGUGUUGUGCAUUCAGAGAUGCUCCCUGCAUACCACUGUUGUAAUGUGUGGUUACUUGGGUGUCAGAGAACCAGUCUGGCCAUUUUCCUCUGAUCCCUCUUAUUAACAAGCAUUUUCGCCACAGAACUGACACUCACUGGAAGUUUUUUUUUGUUAUAUAUACCGUUCGAUGUCCACUGUACAGACUGCUGUGUGUGAAAAUCCCAAGAGAUCUGCAUUUUCUGAGAUACUCAAACCACCCCAUCUGGCACCGACAAUCAUUCCACAGUCUAAGUCACUCAGGUUACAUUUCCCCUUCAACUUUUCACCUUUCACCCUUAACCCAUGACUUCUGGUUGUAGUCUCACCCAACCUUAGUGGAAAGAGCCCUAUCUAUACCCCUAUCAGAUCUCCUCUCAAUCUUCUAUGUUCCAAGGAAUAAAGUCCUAACCUAUUCAAUCCCUCUUUAUGAUGCAGGUCCUCCAGAGAGGAGGAUUUCUCCAUCUCCAUUGUGAGUUGAAUGCACAAGACCCAGCACCAUCGUCCAACAGCAUCAGAGGAGAGAGAGAAUGGUUUCCGCUUGUUCCUGGACAUUCUAAUACGAUGGAAACCUGACGGUAGCCUCAGGCAUGGCGUCUACUGGAACUCACUCACAUGGACUUGUACCUCAACAAUAACAGCCACCAUCACGCCUCCCAAUGCAGAGCGGUUUGUUCUACUUUGAUUAACCGUGUGAGAACUAUUUUGGACCCAGAGAGUCCCCCUGAGGAAUAAGACAAUCACGUACGACAUUCCUAUAAAUUACUGCAAGGUGAAGGAAAUCAAUUGGGCCCUUACAAGGGCCGAUGGAAAAACCAGGAAGCCUAACAACGAGGAGGCUACUGCCAUGGUCUUCUGCUGCCUGUCACUUCAAAGUUCGAUGUGUUGUGCAUUCAGAGAUGCUUUUCUGCACACCACUGUAGUAACGAGUGGUUAUUUGAGUUACUGUCACCUUCCUGUCAGCUUGAAACAGUCUGGCCGUUCUCCUCUGACCCCUCCCAUUAACAAGGCAUUUCACCAGAACUGCUGCACACUGGAUAUUUUUUUUGCACCGUUCUCUAUAAACUCUAGAGACUGUUGUGCCAGGAGAUCAGAAGUCUCUGAGAUACUCAAACCACCCCAUCUGGCACCACCAAUCAUUCCACAGUCAAAGUCACUCAGAUCACGUUUCUUCCCCAUUCUGAUAUCUGCUCAGAACAACAACUGAAUCUCUUGACCAUGUCUGUGUGCUUUCAUGCAUUGAGUUGCUGCCACCUGAUUGGCUGAUUAGAUAUUUGCAAUGAUAAGCAGGAGCACAGGUGUACCUAAUAAAGUGGCCACUGCCCGGAAAGGACAGCUUCUUGUUGUAUUUCUAAUAAAACUGGGCCUUGGAGAAUUGCAGUACGACUUCCGUACUUUUAUACUUCUUGAAGUAAGAGCCAACACUCCAUUAUCCUUGCCUAUUACCUGUUCUAUUGUUGGCCUGGCUUUCUCUAUUCCCUAAAUCCCAAGGUCUCUCUAUACUUGGCAAUUAUUCCCCAUUUCAAUAACACUCUGUUCACUUAUUCCUCCUUCCAAAUUGAACAAUGGCCAACCUUUUGCACAGUCACUUAACCAUAGAUAGAUGGAAAAUGGAUGAGAUAGUGAGGGAGGUAGAUAGAGAGAUAGAGUGAGUGAGGUAGAUAGAGAGAGAGACAGAAAGAAGGGAGAAGAGAGACAGAGAGAGAGAGACAGAGAGAGAUAGAGUGAGCGAGGUAGAUGGAGAGAGAGAAAGAGAAAGGAAGAGAGACAGAAAGAAGGGAGAAGAGAGACAGGGAGAGAGAGUGGAAUUGAGAGUGAAUGAGAGGGUAGGAGAGGGAGCAAGAGAAAAGGAGAGAUAUGAGGGACAGAGAAAGCCGGACAGAGAUUAGAUAAGAUGGACUGAGAGAGGUAGAUGGAGAGAGAGAGACCCACACACACAGAAAGAGAGAAAGGAAGAGAGACAGACAGAGAAAGCAAAAGAGAGAGAGAGAAUGGGAUUGAAGGGGUGGGAAUGGGAGUGAGAUAGGACAAGAGGAAGAGAGACUGAGAAUAGGAGUGAAACAUUGUCAGCAAUAUAAAUAAGUGAAGACAGAAUAUGGGAGGGUCAGAGAAUAGGAAAGAGAGAGAGAGUAAAGGUAGGGAAACGAAGGGGCGGGAAGACAGAGGAGGGGAUGGCUGAAGUGUUAUGCUCCUUACUCUAAGAGAUGUGGGAAAAUGAGAGAAGAAGAUGCGAAGUCCAAUGCCUUUCCUCAACACUUCUUCCUUCUUCUCCACAACUUCCUCCUUCCCUUCAACUCUUCCUCCUUCCUCUCCUCAACUCUUCCUCCUUCUUCUCCUCAACUUCCUCCUUCCCUUCCUCAACACUUCCUCCUUCCUCUCCUCAACACUUCCUCCUUCUUCUCCUCAACUUCCUCCUUCCUCUCCUCAACUCUUCCUCCUUCUUCUCCUCAACUUCCUCCUUCCCUUCCUCAACACUUCCUCCUUCCUCUCCUCAACUCUUCCUCCUUCCUCUCCUCAACUCUUCCUCUCCUCAACUCUUCCUCCUUCCCCUCCUCCCCCUCCGAGGUAACAGAGCAAGGAGACGGUGAGGAAGGGCUUGUGAUGUGGCAGCCAAUGAUCGCCGAGGCCUCAGACCUCACCUGGAAAUGCAGUGACUCAGAUACCUGGGUGUGCAGGCCUUUCUGUCCAUCAGAGCUCUGCUAGCUCCCUGAAGAUGCUUGUGGUGCCACUCUCCUCACUGAGAGGACCAAAUGUUUGGGCAAAGCUCCCAUGCCACCCCAGACUGCUCUCUCCUGUCUCCUGCCCGCCAAAAGACCUAGACAGAGUGGACGUGGAGAAGAUGUUUCCUAUAGCGGGGAAGAGUAUGACCAGAGGGCACAACAGAAUGAAGAGACAUCGAAUGAGAACAGAGCUAUUGUUGGUGGGCAUUUGGGGAGUCGGCGCAAGGGGGUGAGAGAGAGAGAGAGAGAGGACGCGACGCUGUAAGCUGGGCGACGGAACAGACUCCGAGAGGGGGUCCGAGGCCAGGGUUUUUGGCGAGGAGAGGAGACGAAGACAGACGUGCCGAGGGUGCUUGGUUGACCACUUCGGGUGGUCCUGAGCUGCGAGUCGAGGAGUUCGGAGCGGAUCGAAUGGUGGCCAGAAGACUUCAGUAAUUGAGCUCCAACGGCUGUGCACGAAGUGGUUUGGACUUUGAUAAGUUUGGCACCUGUUCUUUAUUUUCUUUUCCUUCAUAUAUACUGUAUCGUUAUUAAUCACUUAGUUUUAGUAAUCUCUACAAAGAGUAAUCAUUUAAUUGCAUAUAGUGUACUGUCUGUCAUUUGGCGGGGUGGGGAUAUAACGCAGCAUCCACACAAGCUGAUUACCUAGUCUGGCCGGGCCAAAGGCUGCUCCCCCUAGAUGGAAGCGAGCUGAGCGAGCCUGAGGCCUACCAGGGCGCUACGUCAGUAUAUUGAGUCAAGCAGGCCUGUGGUUCCAGGAGUGCCUCGAAAUGAUUCCUGUUCACGCAUUUUUGCUAGAAUAAAGUAUUUCAUGUCCACUAGCUUCAGGGUCUCUCUGGGAACCUUCUUCAU